UCCUAGUCUUAUAUAGUCGCUACAUAUUAGCACUGUUAAACUUCAGGUAUCUGCGUGUAGGUCGUCUCGGUACCUAAAAUUGUCCAGUAUAUUCACCUAUACGAGCGUAUACCCUGAUACUCUACUUCCAUUCGAUUGCCUGAGAGUAUACUUUAUAUAAAGACAAGAGAAAGCUUAAAUACAUGGUAACUAUUUAACUCUUUCCCUGUAGUGUUGUUUUCGAACUAGUUGUACACAUAUACAACCGUUCACCUUACUAACGGAACCGGAAAAGGCAACUUGAUUGUUUCACUAAAACAUGCCGUACGUCAUGGGCUGCUUAAAAAAAUUUCACAGGCUGUUACGUCCAUAAUAAAAAACUGAGCAUUGAACGUCCGUAUGUCAUGGUCUACUUAAAUACAUGACAACUAUUUACCAGUUCAUCUUACUUACUGUUAAUACGGGUCGACAUAACAGUACAUUUAUGUGUGACGUUAACUCAUGAAUGAUUUAACUGGUGAGAGUGACGUCAUUACCAGCAGUUUAAAUAACGUUCUUUCCUUACAUAACAUCGAAACUGUAGACUACCAUUGGAAGUACACAUACUGACAGGCACACAGUGUUUUUAACUUUUCUGAUGUGUACAAUUUGGACAAUCACCGACAAGCCAUGAUCGACAAGUAGGUUGAAAUGGUAGUCACAACAGUCGCAGGUUAUGACCGGAUUAUCAAAAUCUGACCCUGGUCCGGACCCUCGUCUGUGUUCUUAAAGUCUGAAUAUUAUUGGGUCCCAGUCACCGUAAAUUGGGACCCCUGCUGUUUACAAAGUGCCCACCCAAAGCACUACUACCGCUUUAUUUCCAAACCUCUGAACUAAGCCUCGUGGGACUUAUAAGAAACUAACCCGUAAAACUCCCACACGCGACGGACCUAAAAUAGUCUGCUCCUCUAUUUGUGAUAAACCAGUCACCGAGAUACCUAACGUGACGGUUCUAGACCUUGAACGUCUUUUCCUUCACGUAAACAUGCGACCUUCGAUACAGAGGUCAAGCAACAGAGGAACGGGUAGGUCUACUGGAAGGUCAAGAAUAAUGUCCUUGACUUGUACCGUAGUAAGUCCACACCUCGAGGCAACUAAAGUCCGAGUUUUCUUGGUAAUUGAAUCCGCCACCACCUGGACAAUAACCAGAGCGUACAUACUACCCGAGUGUCUCCUAACACUAACCCGUUGUCUUGCGUUACAGAUGGUACCCUUAGUGAUUGCUGUUUCGUAACUCUGGCUUCUCAAAAUACGGGACCCGCGUCGAGGCGGCCUUCUUCGCUGCACACGUGUAGGCACCCGACCGAUCCCGAAUGUUCCUAGGUCAUAGAGAUGUUUGACCUGAUAACUGUUUUUUCUCACUACAGAUGUCAAAACCUCAUGAUGAGACACUUGAACAUACACCCUCCUUCCCGUGUAUAAGCCUGGUAUUGUCGAAUGCCUCUGUAAAAAAACUACGAGUGCUUUUUACUCUUCUACGGCUAACUCGACAAACUGUUCCUUUAACGUCUUGGUCCUCGAAACUUCGAAGAACCAUGGGAACGUUCGCAACGGUACCUUACGGAAUUAGAACUGUAACUACUUUCUGGUCGUUACUGUCUACAUCGUCUCGUGGAAGAGUACAACUUCUCUAGAGCAUUGAUCAAUAUCUAAUAACAUACAAACUACGCUCUGUUAUCCGAAGGAACGUACGAACACACAAAUAAAAACCCCUACAAAAACAACCAAGGGGGUUCGCCAUGGAGACAAUUUAACCGUUAGGGUCGUAAAGAUAGGAAGGAGGGACAAAGGUGAGUUUGGACUAAAUCCCGAAAUAAAACUUCACCCCGAUAACACCGGAAGUAAGAUUUUUAUAAGCGAUGUUAUAUAACUAUAUAAGAGAGGCAAGAAUUUAUAUUCAGAAAAAUCUGUAAAAUUUACCUGUUGUUG
rnacentral:rRNA from 1 species